AAAUAUGACUGCAGGGAAAAGAAGCUGGAGAGAACAGAAGGGGCUGUUUCCAAAGUGACCUACAGACAUUGGAAUGAAAUCAUUAUUUACUGUGUAAAAGAAUCACUCUCCAAAGCAUCAGCCAGGGUCUAAAUGUGCCAUUCUGCCUUUUAAAAGUACCAACAUCACAGGAUUUUUCUCAGAUUAAAGCUUCCAUGGAGUCGGAUCUCUCAAGCCUGGCCCUUGAGAAUUGUGGGCCUCCUGUGAACUGGUCUUGCCAGAAGGGCUUGCUGAGUUUUCCAUUGUGUGGAAAAGAGAUCCCAUUUGCAGCCUGAAGCCUCAUGUUUCCUGUAGGAUUUCCACUCCUAGAAUUGCACACUUUGAAGGAUUUCUUAUAGCAGAAGUUUUUUGGGAACUAGGACUCUGGCUGGAUUUGGGUCUCUGGACUCUCAGGUGAAGUGACCUUGAGACACUAGGGCGUGCAGAUUUCCUUGCUGUUGUAAAGAGCUAUUGUUCGCACCCAGGAGCCAUGGUCUGAAUGGGGGUGUCACCUCUUAAAUUUGCAAAUGUCACAGGAUUUCUUCUAAAUGAAUGGUGCUAAGAACAUAA